rnacentral:rRNA from 1 species
UACGUAGGGUGCAAGCGUUGUCCGGAAUUAUUGGGCGUAAAGAGCUCGUAGGCGGUCUGUCACGUCGGCUGUGAAAUCCCGAGGCUCAACCUCGGGUCUGCAGUCGAUACGGGCAAACUAGAGUAUUGCAGGGGAGACUGGAAUUCCUAGUGUAGCGGUGAAAUGCGCAGAUAUCAGGAGGAACACCGGUGGCGAAGGCGGGUCUCUGGGCAAUAACUGACGCUGAGGAGCGAAAGCGUGGGGAGCGAACAGG